rnacentral:rRNA from 15 species
UCUGACGCCUGCCCGGUGCCGGAAGGUUAAAAGGAGAUGUGAGAGCGUCGAAUUGAAGCCCCGGUGAACGGCGGCCGUAACAAUAACGGUUCUAAGGUAGCGAAAUUCCUUGUCGGGUAAGUUCCGACCUGCACGAAUGGCGUAACGACUUCCCCACUGUCUCCAGCAUCGACUCAGCGAAAUUGAAGUCCCCGUGAAGAUGCGGGGUACCCGCGGUCAGACGGAAAGACCCCGUGAACCUUUACUGCAGCUUGGCUGUGGCACCGAAAAUAGUAUGUGUAGGAUAGGUGGGAGGCUUUGAAGCAGCGGCGCCAGUCGUUGUGGAGCCAUCCUUGAAAUACCACCCUUAUUCUUUUCGUUGUCUAACCGCGUCCCUGGAUGGGACCGGGACCCAGCCUGGCGGGCAGUUUGACUGGGGCGGUCGCCUCCCAAAGAGUAACGGAGGCGCACGAUGGUAGGCUCAAGCUGGUCGGACAUCAGCUGACGAGUGCAAUGGCAUAAGCCUGCCUGACUGCGAGGCCGAC